GGUCAGCUGGGGCUCUGCUCUGCAUCUUUCUCCCUCUGGAACCCUAGCUGAGUGAGUGGUCACUAUCUGGAACAUUGCUGGCCAUUGUGACAGAGGGGGCACUGAGCUCUGGAGGGUUUCACACAGACAAGCCUUUCGCCUUCCACCAUGAUUGUGAGGCCUCCCCAGCCACGCGGAACUCAGGUCCUAAAACCUAGGAAGACUUUUCUGACCUUCCCCUGAAGCAGGCCUAAGACCCUCCUGUGUGAGAGCAGGCUGGGCGAUACAGCGAGACCCUGCCUCGAAAACACCGUCACCACCACCACCACAAACAACAGCAAAACCCCACCCAGGGGUUCCAGACAAUGAACCUAAGAUAGAUAGAAGGAAAAGAUAAGUUGCCUCCCCUACAAAGGCUAAGGCAACAUGUUGAGCCAAGAUACACCAGAUUCUAGAACCUGAGCAUUUAGCUUCAACCUCUUGGGGUUAUCUCCAGCCUCCAACUGGUGGGGGUCAGCCCCUGAACCAAAGGUUUGUGUUUCCAAGAUUUCUGUCAAUGUACUGGUCACAGGGAU